CCUACGGGUGGCUGCAGUGAGGAAUAUUGGUCAAUGGACGGAAGUCUGAACCAGCCAAGCCGCGUGCAGGAAGACGGUUCUAUGAGUUGUAAACCGCUUUUGUCCAAGGGCAAACCUGAAUACGCGUAUCCAGCUGAGAGUACUGUACGAAUAAGGAUCGGCUAACUCCGUGCCAGCAGCCGCGGUAAUACGGAGGAUACAAGCGUUAUCCGGAUUUAUUGGGUUUAAAGGGUGGGUAGGCGGGUUGAUAAGUUAGAGGUGAAAUGUCCGAGCUUAACUCGGGAACUGCCUCUAAUACGGUUGAUCUAGAGAGUAGAUGCGGUAUGCGGAAUGUAUGGUGUAGCGGUGAAAUGCUUAGAGAUCAUACAGAACACCGAUUGCGAAGGCAGCUUACCAAUCUAUAACUGACGUUGAGGCACGAAAGCGUGGGGAGCGAACAGGAUUAGAUACCCUAGUAGUC
rnacentral:rRNA from 1 species